CCUACGGGCGGCAGCAGUGGGGAAUAUUGCACAAUGGGGGAAACCCUGAAGCAGCAACGCCGCGUGAAGGAAGAAGGAUUUAGGUAUGUAAAGCUCUUUCAGCAGGGAAGAAAAUGACGGUACCUGAGUAAGAAGCACCGGCUAACUCCGUGCCAGCAGCCGCGGUAAUACGGAGGGGGCAAGCGUUAUCCGGAUUUACUGGGUGUAAAGGGAGCGUAGGCGGCGUGGUAAGUCAGGAGUGAAAUGCUGGGGCUCAACUUCAGAACUGCCUUUGAAACUGUUCGUCUGGAGUGUAGGAGAGGUAGGUGGAAUUCAUGGUGUAGCGGUGAAAUGCGUAGAGAUCA
rnacentral:rRNA from 1 species